ACAAGGCUGCUGAGAUACUUGCUGCAAAGAAAAAAAUCCAUUUUUUUCUUAUGAACCUUCCACCCCCUGUUCCAUUUUCUUACCAAGACUAAUCACGAAUCAACAUAUCAUCAUGAUUGCUUCCUCCUUUCAACAGAGCUAAUGAUUCGAAAUUUUAUAAAUCAAAUAACCCUCAUAUAUGUCCUUGUAUCUGUUGUUGCCGCAAUCAGAAACCCUAACUCUCUGUAAAUAUCUGUAAAAACAGUAAAAUCCUUCACGGCCGACCAACAUCCCUUUUUGUUCAUCAAUAACUUCCAAAACCCAAUCUUCUAUUUUUGUCAUCGCAAUCAGAAACCCUAACUCUCUAUUUCGAAAGAUUUUUUAAGAGGUUAAACAAUCGAAGAUGUGGACAGAGUAUGAUAUAGGUGUGAAUACUUUCUCACCUGAGGGGAGAUUUUUUCUGGUUGAGUAUGCGAUUGAAGCUAUUAAGCUUGGGUCAACUGCAAUUGAGAGCGUAUCACUUCGCAGUUGCUGAUAUUACGCAGACCCGUCUGGCACAUUUUGGAAGUAUGAUGCAAAUGAAAUUGGAUCAGGUUCUGAGGGAGCAGACAGCUCUACAAGAUCAAUUCAACAAGAUCUUCGGAACCAAUAAUUGGUGAAGUAGGGUUGCGGGUUCAAAGGUCUUGUAGAUGGUGGCAGUACUUUACUACCUUCAGGACAAACAUUUUCUUAGGGAUGAUCUACAAUACACUGGGGAUGGUCUUUGAAUUUGCUUCAGUCGAGCUGCUAAUGUAGGUAGUUUAGAUUUGAAGCAAGUAGAGAGACAAACACAGGUUUAAGAGGCGGCUUUAGUGAAGAAAGCUGAAUUAGCAUCCAAGAGAGUUGCAUCUGCAUAUGUGUAACGAAAAGGAGGGAGAAGUCCAAAACAGUUGGAAAGCGAAAAGUUUUGCAAGGUCUGCAAAGUGAUGCAUACUAUUGGUCUGGUCUUCAUGACUGUACAUCCUCUUGCUCAAAUGUAGUUGUAGUACAUAGUCAAAUUCUGAGGUUGAUGCUCAAACUGAGUUGCAUGCUGAUCCAAACCAGUGGGAUGUUGCAACAUGUACAAAUACAAUGGAGUUUAUGAAACCUAUGGAUAUGUUUCAGCUUCUCAAGAUCCUAACACGUAUUCUUACCAAGGCUAUGGUGGUCCUGGAUAAUCAACAUCACCAACAACAGGUGAACUAUGACUUGUAGUCCCUAAGCAGUUGAUGUGUUGAGGAAACCUAAUGUUCUUAUUACUUCAACAAAGGCUACUAGCACUGGAGGGGUAUGAAUAACUAUCUCAUGAGAUAUUGUCAUCUUCAGUUAGUGAAGCAUUUAUUACUAAGUUUGAGAAUUUACUCUGAUUAUUUGGUACUUAUCUACUAGGUUCAUAGAUCUAGCCUUCCUCGCUUACAUUUUCUUGUUAGAUACCCUUGGACGGCAUCUCAUUCUUUCAUAUGGAGUGCAAUUCGCCGUGGGAUACUGAUUCCUAUGCAUGAAGUUUCAUAUUUUUCUUAAAAUUACUCUCAUUAUGAUCUCGAAAAUUUUGAUAUUUGCGAUCCAUUACCCUUCCUGCAACUCAAAGUAGUCUGAGGUUUAUAAUUUGGUCCAGGAUCUGACAGGUCAUGUUUUUUUUAUUCUUUUAUAUUUGUGUAAAAUUGAAGUACUAUAUAAUGUAUGGGAAUACCAUUUGGUGAUCUUGGUUAACUAUUGAAGUAGUCGGAAGGGAUGGGAAUCCUGAAAAUCCUACCAGUUCUUUCUCACGUGUUCUAUUUUAGGUUCAAAGGUCUUGUAGCUGAUGGAAGUAGAUUACUACCUUUGGGACAAGCAGUGAGAUAAGUUUUGUUGGAAUCCAGUGUAUGCUCAGGGUUGUGUUAUACUUGACAUAUAUGGGUCCAAAGCAAAGAACCAAACACAUGUAUUUGCUAUUUGUGAGGCGGUUCCAAAGAAGAAAGUUGAUUCAGCAGCUCAGUGUAAACUAGGGUACUCAGACUCGCACUUGUCUUUAAGAAUCGUCUUUAAGAAACAUGUGAAUCUAUCAUCUAAGACUUGUAUUGGUGCAAAUUCAAGAUUUUUUUUGUUUUUUUUUUCCUGAUUUUGAAGCCAAGUGCAGGUUUGAAAUUCUGCUAUUUGAACCUGUAUGAAUUGUACAAUGAAUACUGGUUCUUGAAUAAAUGGCCAUUUGAAUUUA